rnacentral:rRNA from 1 species
AUUGAACGCUGGCGGCAUGCCUUACACAUGCAAGUCGAACGGCAGCACGGGAGCAAUCCUGGUGGCGAGUGGCGAACGGGUGAGUAAUAUAUCGGAACGUGCCCAGUCGUGGGGGAUAACGUAGCGAAAGCUACGCUAAUACCGCAUACGAUCUAUGGAUGAAAGCGGGGGAUCGCAAGACCUCGCGCGAUUGGAGCGGCCGAUAUCAGAUUAGGUAGUUGGUGAGGUAAAGGCUCACCAAGCCGACGAUCUGUAGCUGGUCUGAGAGGACGACCAGCCACACUGGGACUGGGACACGGCCCAGACUCCUACGGGAGGCAGCAGUGGGGAAUUUUGGACAAUGGGCGCAAGCCUGAUCCAGCAAUGCCGCGUGCAGGAUGAAGGCCUUCGGGUUGUAAACUGCUUUUGUACGGAGCGAAAAGGCUUCCACUAAUACUGGGGGCUCAUGACGGUACCGUAAGAAUAAGCACCGGCUAACUACGUGCCAGCCGCCGCGGUAAUAC